rnacentral:tRNA from 1 species
GCCCGGGUGGUGAAAUUGGUAGACACGCUCGACUUAAGAUCGAGUUCCGUAAGGAAUGUGGGUUCGAGUCCCACCCUGGGCA